rnacentral:rRNA from 1 species
UACAGAGGGUGCGAGCGUUAAUCGGAAUUACUGGGCGUAAAGGGUGCGUAGGUGGUUGAAUGAGUUAGGUGUGAAAGUCCUGGGCUUAACCUGGGGAUUGCGCCUAAUACUGUUUGGCUAGAGUACUGUAGAGGGAAGUGGAAUUUCCGGUGUAGCGGUGAAAUGCGUUGAUAUCAAUCGGAACUCCGGUGGCGAAGGCGGCAUACUGGAUCUUAUCUGACGCUGAGGCGCGAAAGCUAGGGGAGCAAACGGG